rnacentral:rRNA from 1 species
UAAACAUGCAAGUCGAGCGGCAGCGGAAAGUAGCUUGCUACUUUGCCGGCGAGCGGCGGACGGGUGAGUAAUGUCUGGGAAACUGCCUGAUGGAGGGGGAUAACUACUGGAAACGGUAGCUAAUACCGCAUAAUGUCGCAAGGCCAAAGAGGGGGACCUUCGGGCCUCUUGCCAUCAGAUGUGCCCAGAUGGGAUUAGCUAGUAGGUGGGGUAACGGCUCACCUAGGCGACGAUCCCUAGCUGGUCUGAGAGGAUGACCAGCCACACUGGAACUGAGACACGGUCCAGACUCCUACGGGAGGCAGCAGUGGGGAAUAUUGCACAAUGGGCGCAAGCCUGAUGCAGCCAUGCCGCGUGUAUGAAGAAGGCCUUCGGGUUGUAAAGUACUUUCAGCGGGGAGGAAGGC